rnacentral:tRNA from 1 species
GGGACUGUGGCUUAGUGGUACAGCACUUGCCUAGCAUGCAUGAAGCCCUAGGUUCAAUUCCUCAGUACCA